AAUGAACGCUGGCGGCAUGCCUAACACAUGCAAGUCGAACGAGAUCUUCGGGUCUAGUGGCGCACGGGUGCGUAACGCGUGGGAAUCUGCCCUUUGGUUCGGAAUAACAGUUGGAAACGACUGCUAAUACCGGAUGAUGACGAAAGUCCAAAGAUUUAUCGCCAGAGGAUGAGCCCGCGUAGGAUUAGCUAGUUGGUGUGGUAAAGGCGCACCAAGGCGACGAUCCUUAGCUGGUCUGAGAGGAUGAUCAGCCACACUGGGACUGAGACACGGCACAGACUCCUACGCGAGGCAGCAGUGGGUAAUAUUGGACGAUGGGCAAUAGCCUGAUACAGCAAUGCCGCGUGGGUGAUGAAGGCCUUAGGGUUGAAAAGCUCUUUUACCCGGGAUGAUAAUGACGGUACCUGAGGAAUAAGCACCGGCUAAGUCCUUGCCAGCCGCCGCAGUAA
rnacentral:rRNA from 1 species